rnacentral:rRNA from 1 species
AUUGAACGCUGGCGGCAUGCCUUACACAUGCAAGUCGAACGGCAGCACGGAGCUUGCUCUGGUGGCGAGUGGCGAACGGGUGAGUAAUAUAUCGGAACGUACCCAAGAGUGGGGGAUAACGUAGCGAAAGUUACGCUAAUACCGCAUACGAUCUAAGGAUGAAAGCAGGGGAUCGCAAGACCUUGUGCUCCUGGAGCGGCCGAUAUCUGAUUAGCUAGUUGGUGAGGUAAAGGCUCACGAAGGCAUCGAACAGUAGCUGGUCUGAGAGGACGACCAGCCACACUGGAACUGAGACACGGUCCAGACUCCUACGGGAGGCAGCAGUGGGGAAUUUUGGACAAUGGUGGCAACCCUGAUCCAGCAAUGCCGCGUGAGUGAAGAAGGCCUUCGGGUUGUAAAGCUCUUUUGUCAGGGAAGAAACGGUCGUGGCUAAUAUCCAUGGCUAAUGACGGUACCUGAAGAAUAAGCACCGGCUAACUACGUGCCAGCAGCCGCAGUAAAAC